rnacentral:rRNA from 1 species
CCUACGGGAGGCAGCAGUGGGGAAUUUUGGACAAUGGGCGAAAGCCUGAUCCAGCGACGCCGCGUGGAGGACGAAGGUCUUCGGAUUGUAAACUCCUUUUGCAGGGGACGAAAAAAAUGACGGUACUCUGCGAAUAAGCCACGGCUAACUACGUGCCAGCAGCCGCGGUAAUACGUAGGUGGCGAGCGUUACUCGGAAUCACUAGGCGUAAAGCGCGUGUAGGCGGUAUUUUAAGUCUGUUGUGAAAUCUUAUGGCUCAACCAUAAAAUGUCGACAGAUACUGAAGUACUAGAGUGAGGCAGGGGAAACUGGAAUUCCAGGUGUAGCGGUGGAAUGCGUAGAUAUCUGGAAGAACGCCAAAGGCGAAGGCAGGUUUCUGGGCCUUUACUGACGCUGAGACGCGAAAGCUAGGGGAGCAAACAGGAUUAGAUACCCCUGUAGU